ACACACAUCACAACCUGUCGGUGAUGUGUGUGGUGCCAUCACCACAUACAGUUCAAUUGUUGGCUACCCUCACCACAUGCGGGGGUUUCCAGCGACCCCUUAGCAGCAUCCGGGCCCAUCGUGGAUGCCAUCCAUGUGUUUUGGACCAUCACAGAUGUAUUGGUUAUGCAAUUUUGAUGCAAAAUUGAACCUGAAAACCUGAUAAAAUGUGGAUUCCAGUGGAUAAAGCUCAAUGUGUGUGGCCUGGUAGAUACAGACGAUAUCACAUACCCAAGUGCAAUGAACCUUUUGGACUUGGAAUACAUCAUUUAUGGAAACAGGUCAUGCAAUUUUGACGCGAAAUGGAACCUGAAAACCUGCUAAAAUGUGGAUACCAGUGGAUAAAGCUCAAUGUGUGUGGCUUGUACUCACAAGACAUUUACAGUGGGGUGUGCAGUUGAGAACAGUUCGCCAUCUACCCCUCAGUGCUCACCAGAAUUAUUCAAAGUGGAGCACUAUGCCAAUUUUAAGAAGCUGGCCAAAGAUGUCCUGGUAAGCAGCACAUUGUCAGUGCUGCGAGACAUACAAACAGCAAUGAAUGGGAGCAAUGAGGAUGAGGAGUUGGGCCAAUAUGUUGCAGCUGAGGUGAUUACAACUAAAAAUAGAAAAUUGAAGGCAGAGACAAAGUGCCUUAUCAUGGGUGCAAUUCAGAAAGUUACUGAUUGUUAAUUUUUAAAUAAAAGAUUGAAAAUUAAAAA
rnacentral:misc_RNA from 1 species